UACGUAGGUGGCAAGCGUUGUCCGGAAUUAUUGGGCGUAAAGCGCGCGCAGGUGGUUUCUUAAGUCUGAUGUGAAAGCCCACGGCUCAACCGUGGAGGGUCAUUGGAAACUGGGGAACUUGAGUGCAGAAGAGGAAGGUGGAAUUCCAAGUGUAGCGGUGAAAUGCGUAGAGAUUUGGAGGAACACCAGUGGCGAAGGCGACUUUCUGGUCUGUAACUGACACUGAGGCGCGAAAGCGUGGGGAGCGAACAGG
rnacentral:rRNA from 1 species